ACGCGAAAGUCCCCUUCGGGGGGCAAGUAGAGUGGCGCACGGGUGAGUAACACGUAGGUAAUCUACCUUUGGAUUGGGAAUAACAACCGGAAACGGUUGCUAAUACCGAAUAAUGCAGCGGCACCUAAUGGUGACAGUUGUUAAAGCGGGGGAUCGAAAGACCUCGCGUCUGAAGAGGAGCCUGCGGCAGAUUAGCUAGUUGGUAAGGUAACGGCUUACCAAGGCGAUGAUCUGUAGCCGGCCUGAGAGGGCGGUCGGCCACACUGACACUGACAUACGGGUCAGACUCCUACGGGAGGCAGCAGUCGGGAAUUUUGGGCAAUGGGCGAAAGCCUGACCCAGCAACGCCGCGUGAAGGAUGAAAUCCUUCGGGAUGUAAACUUCGCAAGAACGGGAAGAAUAAGUAAGAGUUAAUAUCUCUUACGAUGACGGUACUGUUUGUAAGCUCCGGCUAACUCCGUGCCAGCAGCCGCGGUAAUACGGGGGGAGCAAGCGUUGUUCGGAUUUACUGGGCGUAAAGGGCGCGUAGGCGGCCACCGCAAGUCGACUGUGAAAUCUCCGGGCUUAACCCGGAAAGGUCAGCCGAUACUGCGGGGCUAGAGUGCAGAAGGGGCAACUGGAAUUCUCGGUGUAGCGGUGAAAUGCGUAGAUAUCGAGAGGAACACCUGCGGCGAAGGCGGGUUGCUGGGCUGACACUGACGCUGAGGCGCGAAAGCUAGGGGAGCGAACGGGA
rnacentral:rRNA from 1 species